UCUUGUGUAUUGUAUUACCUCUUGUAACAUCUCCAGGGUUUUGUCCAAAACUUUCUCAUCAUCCAAAAUGUAAAGCUCAUCCUGAAUUUGUUUGACUUUUUGAACACACUUAUUUCUAACAUUUUGGAUUGAGUUGGAGUAAUAAUCUGUUGUGGUAAGAAAACAGUCAGAAGAAUGAGCUUUUUCAUAAUUAGGACAUUGCGCAAAGUUUCCUGGCAGUGACUUGUGUUUGAUAUCAGUCUGAGUUUGGCUUAUAUUGGCUUUUGGUUGAAUUAUAUGGGGAUCUAAAGUAAAUAGGGGAUGAUUGGAAAACUUCCCAACAUUUGGUUGUUGAAAAACAGCACAGAUGUGUUUAGAAGGCAUCUUCUGUCUCCUGUAAUCAAGACAUUGGCAGGAAGGCAUUUGGUCGUUUUUUCCCAGAAAAACUUGAUAUGUGGAUGAUGAGCUUGUGACAGUGAAAUGUUUUGUCGUUUCCAUCUUGAUGUUUUUACUUGGAAUGCUAGAUUCCAUCCGUUCAAUAAUAUGAGAAACAACAUACUUUGGUCUAUUGUGCAGAAACUUUGGGAUUUGUUUGCUGUAGGACUUGUACGAAUCGGAUGAUUUGAUAUUCUGUUCCUUAUAUCUAUAAAGAGAAAAUUGUUUCCACAGUGGAUUCUCUUGACUGAUGAUGUUCAGGACUUCUGAUAUGGAAUCCAUGUCCUAAUUUUGGGAUAUGAAGACAGCAACAACGAUGUAACAAACAUUUGAUCGGACACAUAAGAAAAACAACGGUAGUGCGUACCUCAAAAGAUGCGAAUUGGAAAACUUUAAAACAUUAACUUUCCAAGUGACAACAAUUGGAAACUCCAUUUUCGAACUAGCAUUUGGCAACAAUUCCAUGAUGAUUUCCCGCACUUUUUAUGUUUAGAUUCUCAUAGAAUAUACGUAUGGCAAGUUGCAAUUUUACAAUGUAGGAAAAUGUGAAUUUUUUGUUGCUCGAAAAACAUUUAGCCAAAUGCAUUGUAUCUUCUCAUAUGACCAUAAAAUCAAGAAAUGGUGCAUUCAAUGCUGUUAGGGAGGUGGGUGCAUGGAAAUCGAGUAUUCUUCAUGAAAUUAUGGAUAGUCAUUCCAGAGCACAGAGCACCCCAACCUGACAAAGAUUUUUAGUUUACAAAAUUGAUAAAGAAACUUGUUCAUGUUAAGUGGUAAUGUUAUUUGCAAACACUAUGACAUCAUGCAAUGACUUUUUACAAUUACAUUCCACUAUUUGAGAG